UAUUAUGGUGAGUUGGGUAAGGGCGCUUCGGGCGCGCCGUCUUCUGAGUGGACGGGGUUCUAACCUUAUUCAGCUCGCCACCCCU
rnacentral:antisense_RNA from 1 species